UUUACAGUGCCUUGAAGCAGAUGGAAUAUUGAAUGUAAGCAGUCAAAUCCACAAACUAUGCUUGCAGUUUGUAUACUUGCCGAUAAUACAGCAAGAUUUAGCAGAGUUAACAGUUCUUUGGAACAGUCAUAACAUUAGAAAACAAAAUCAGGGAGAUAUAUUGUCAGGCAUACCUGAUGUUCUCUAUCACUAUCCUGAAGUGUAUGGUACUUCAGAUUUCUGUAUUCCUGCAGAUGAUAUAACAUUAAACUUCUUCAAGGAUCAGUGUACCCAUGAAGCAAAUCUAUUUAAAAAAAUAGAUGAAGACUUUGAGGCAGUUUUGACUGAACUAAGGGAUAAUCUUAACAUCCCCCCUGUAAUUGAUUCUGUACAGAAUGCGCGGUAUUUAUUUAUAUAUCUGAAGGAAAGAAUGGAGAACUUGCUAUCAUAGAGAUUUUAAAAGCUCAUUUGUGAGAGUCAAGUCUGGAAUUCAUCCUUAUCCAUCCACGAGAAGAGACAAUACUUGUUACUGGUAUCUGAAUGAUGAGUCCUCUGUCAAAAUCUUUGAAGACUAAACUUAUCUGA